rnacentral:rRNA from 1 species
GACGAACGCUGGCGGCGUGCUUAACACAUGCAAGUCGAACGGCAGCACGGGGGCAACCCUGGUGGCGAGUGGCGAACGGGUGAGUAAUACAUCGGAACGUGCCCCGUAGCGGGGGACAACCAGUCGAAAGACUGGCUAAUACCGCAUACGCUCCACGGAGGAAAGCAGGGGGAUCGCAAGACCUUGCACUAUGGGGAGCGGCCGAUGCCCGAUUAGCUAGUUGGUGAGGUAAAGGCUCACCAAGGCAACGAUCGGUAGCUGGUCCUGAGAGGACGACCAGCCACACUGGGACUGAGACACGGCCCAGACUCCUACGGGAGGGCAGCAGUGGGGAAUUUUGGACAAUGGGCGCAAGCCUGAUCCAGCCAUGCCGCGU